rnacentral:rRNA from 1 species
UACGGAGGGUGCAAGCGUUAAUCGGAAUUACUGGGCGUAAAGCGCACGCAGGUGGCUGAGUCAGUCGAUUGUGAAAGCCCUGGGCUUAACCUGGGAAUUGCAGUCGAUACUACUCAGCUAGAGUAUGGGAGAGGGUAGUGGAAUUCCCGGUGUAGCGGUGAAAUGCGUAGAUAUCGGGAGGAACAUCAGUGGCGAAGGCGGCAUUCUGGACCGAAACUGACGCUGAGGCGCGAAAGCCAGGGGAGCAAACGGG